AAUAUUGGUCAAUGGGGGCAACCCGGAUCCAGCCAUGCCGCGUGAGUGAAGAAGGUCGUCGGACUGUAUAGCACUGUAAGUUGGGAGGAAGGGCUUUAGGUAAAUACCCAGAAGUUUGGACGUUACUAACAGAAUAAGCACCGGUUAACUCUGGCCCAGCAGCCGCGGUAAUACAGAGGGUGCAAGCGUUAAUCGGAAUUACUGGGCGUAAAUCGCGAGUAGGUGGUUCAGUAAGAUGGGUGUGAAAUCCCAGGGCUUAACUUGGCAACUGCUUUCAUAACUGCUGAGCUAGAGUACGGUAGAGGGUAGUGGAAUUUCCUGUGUAGCGGUGAAAUGCGUAGAUAUAGGAAGGAACACCAGUGGCGAAGGCGACUACCUGGACUGAUACUGACACUGAGGUGCGAAAGCGUGGGGAGCAAACA
rnacentral:rRNA from 1 species